GCUCAGGACGAACGCUGGCGGCGUGCUUAACACAUGCAAGUCGAACGAAGAGCGAUGGAAGCUUGCUUCUAUCAAUCUUAGUGGCGAACGGGUGAGUAACGCGUAAUCAACCUGCCCUUCAGAGGGGAACAACAGUUGGAAACGACUGCUAAUACCGCAUACGAUUUAAUCUCGGCAUCGAGGAUAGAUGAAAGGUGGCCUCUACAUGUAAGCUAUCACUGAAGGAGGGGAUUGCGUCUGAUUAGCUAGUUGGAGGGGUAACGGCCCACCAAGGCGAUGAUCAGUAGCCGGUCUGAGAGGAUGAACGGCCACAUUGGGACUGAGACACGGCCCAGACUCCUACGGGAGGCAGCAGUA
rnacentral:rRNA from 1 species